UUGAUCCUGGCUCAAGUGAACGCUGGCGGCAGGCCUAACCCCUUUCAACGAGCGGUAGAGAGAAGCUUGCUUCUCUUGAGAGCGGCGGACGGGUGAGUAAUGCCUAGGAAUCUGCCUGGUAGUGGGGGAUAACGCUCGGAAACGGACGCCAAUACCGCAUCCGUCCUACGGGAGAAAGCAGGGGACCUUCGGGCCUUGCGCUAUCAGAUGAGCCUAGGUCGGAUUAGCUAGUUGGUGAGGUAAUGGCUCACCAAGGCGACGAUCCGUAACUGGUCUGAGAGGAUGAUCAGUCACACUGGAACUGAGACACGGCCCAGACUCCUACGGGAGGCAGCAGUGGGGAAUAUUGGACCAAUGGGCGAAAGCCUGAUCCAAGCCAUGCCGCGUGUGUGAAGAAGGUCUUCGGAUUGUAAAGCACUUUAAGUUGGGAGGAAGGGCAUUAACCUAAUACGUUGGUGUCUUGACGUUACCGACAGAAUAAGCACCGGCUAACUCUGUGCCAGCAGCCGCGGUAAUACAGAGGGUGCAAAGUGUUAAUCGGAAUUACUGGGCGUAAAGCGCGCGUAGGUGAUUCGUUAAGUUGGAUGUGAAAUCCCCGGGCUCAACCUGGGGAACUGCAUUCAAAACUGACGAGCUAGAGUAUGGUAGAGGGUGGUGGAAUUUCCUGUGUAGCGGUGAAAUGCGUAGAUAUAGGAAGGAACACCAGUGGGCGAAGGCGACCACCUGGACUGAUACUGACACUGAGGUGCGAAAGCGUGGGGGAGCAAACAGGAUUAGAUACCCUGGUAGUCCACGCCGUAAACGAUGUCAACUAGCCGUUGGGGCCUUGAGCUCUUAGUGGCGCAGCUUACGCAUUCAUUACCGGCCGGGGAGUACGGCCGCAAGGUUAAAACUCAAAUGAAUGCCGG
rnacentral:rRNA from 1 species